GCCCCUCGUGUCCUUAAUUGUAAUUUCUCACUUUCCCGACGUGGCACAAUCUUGGCGCUAGAUCUCGCUUCUUCUGGAGUCUUCAAUGCCUGGAGUCGAUACGACCGAUAGGGGUUGGCAACGAACGUACCCAGUUUUUCUGGUUCCAAUUCUCUCUCUCUCUGGUCUCUCGCACGUAGCGAGAGAGGGUUUUGCUAUUCACCCGAGAAUGGCAACUGCUCGCGUCUCCUCUGCCUUCCCUCUUCGCCGCCGACUUCCACUGCCUACUGCCUCUCUCCGUAGACCAUGCCCGUGGCUACGCGAUCAAUAAUACGUCGUCGUAUCUUGAUUAUUUAAAUUCAAACCCUAACUGAUCUUCGUCAAAACCCUAAUCCAUCAACAAGAUUUUACUAUCUCUCUCACUCGUCUGCAACUAUUGACGGCCUCAUUCAAAGGUGUGGAACUCUCUCUCGAGAACGGAAGUCCACUGUGAAGUAAUAUGCCGACUUAGCUUGGAGGAUACAUCAUUAUGGUCAUUCACUUGUCCGUUUAUUCGCUAGACUUUGGAGAAGCACCCAACCUGUAUGCAUGGUGUUCAGCCCUUGUAUUUCCUCAUUGCUUCUGAGGCUGAAAAAGUGGUAGCUGCAAUAUCAUACCAGGGAGAGAAUGAAUUUAUGGACCAUGCCACAUUCAUUCAUGACUAUAGCUCCAAGUAUUUUCGAUGGAUGCUAGGAGAUCGUUUGGGGGUUGUGCAAGGUAGAGAUUUCCCGUCUCAGAUUUGUGCGCUGCUACUCACCUCAGUUAUUUGCUCUGUCCGGCGCUGCAAUCGACGGCUCGUGCUCCUCCUACCAAGGUUUGGCUUUAUCUCAGGAGGGUUUUCUGAUUUAGGUUUUUCUUUGUGGCUUGAGUGUUGUUUCGUUUGACCUAUCUACCUGUAAGAAGGUCAUUCUCGCGGUUUAUUAUUAACGAUCAAAGGUUUAGGUAGUGUUGGGGUGAUUAUUUGCCGCUGGAGCUUAUUUUUCAUUUUUCAACUUCCGUUGUGUUUGCGAUAUUCGUGUUAUUUCUAGCGGUGCUGUGGCUGGGCCGGUUCUCUUGUGGGUUCAGAGCUUUACAAUCGAAAUUUUCAUGCCAGGCUUGUGUGUUUAUCGAGGAUUAUUCGAAGUGUUCCUAUUGA